GAAUUCGUCUCCUCGCGGUUAUGGUGGAAAUAAAAAAUCGUACGCCUGGUAUGUUGUGCAACAAUUCGUCUUCUUUGAUAAUAGGAAAGCCGCAAAUUGAUAGAAAUUCAACUGUCUGAAAGUUUUUUCACGAACAGUUGAAUCUCUAUCAAUUCACGGCUUUCCCAUUAUCGUCGCUACCUGAACCUGGCAUAGACUUUUUGUUUUGAUUUCUAUAUUCUAUUUUGUCCUAGCUCGGCAGCAAUCUGAUCUGUAGUUAUUGUCAAUCCG